rnacentral:rRNA from 1 species
AUCGAACGCUGGCGGCAUGCCUUACACAUGCAAGUCGAACGGCAGCACGGGUGCUUGCACCUGGUGGCGAGUGGCGAACGGGUGAGUAAUACAUCGGAACGUACCUUAUCGUGGGGGAUAACGCAGCGAAAGCUGUGCUAAUACCGCAUACGCCCUGAGGGGGAAAGCGGGGGAUCGCAAGACCUCGCGCGAUUAGAGCGGCCGAUGCCUGAUUAGCUCGUUGGUGGGGUAAAAGCCCACCAAGGCGACGAUCAGUAGCUGGUCUGAGAGGACGAUCAGCCACACUGGGACUGAGACACGGCCCAGACUCCUACGGGAGGCAGCAGUGGGGAAUUUUGGACAAUGGGGGCAACCCUGAUCCAGCAAUGCCGCGUGAGUGAAGAAGGCCUUCGGGUUGUAAAGCUCUUUUGUCAGGGAAGAAACACCGGCUCUAACACAGUCCGGGAAUGACGGUACCUGAAGAAUAAGCACCGGCUAACUACGUGCCAGCAGCCGCCGCCG